rnacentral:rRNA from 1 species
ACUUAAAUUGAAGAGUUUGAUCAUGGCUCAGAUUGAACGCUGGCGGCAGGCCUAACACAUGCAAGUCGAGCGGUAGCACAGAGAGCUUGCUCUCGGGUGACGAGCGGCGGACGGGUGAGUAAUGUCUGGGAAACUGCCUGAUGGAGGGGGAUAACUACUGGAAACGGUAGCUAAUACCGCAUAAUGUCGCAAGACCAAAGUGGGGGACCUUCGGGCCUCAUGCCAUCAGAUGUGCCCAGAUGGGAUUAGCUAGUAGGUGGGGUAACGGCUCACCUAGGCGACGAUCCC